ensembl:snoRNA
UGGAUUGUUGAUGACUACUGGUGGCAUAUGAGUCAUCUACAAUGAAUAUGUCUCUGGAACUCUGAGGUGUGU